UACGAAGGGGGCUAGCGUUGCUCGGAAUCACUGGGCGUAAAGCGCACGUAGGCGGGUUCUUAAGUCAGGGGUGAAAUCCUGGAGCUCAACUCCAGAACUGCCUUUGAUACUGGGAAUCUCGAGUCCGGGAGAGGUGAGUGGAACUGCGAGUGUAGAGGUGAAAUUCGUAGAUAUUCGGAGGAACACCAGAAGCGAAGGCGGCUCACUGGCCCGAUACUGACGCUGAGGCGCGAAAGCGUGGGGAGCAAACAGG
rnacentral:rRNA from 1 species